GAAUUUUUCAAUUUAACAAAUUAGCUUAUUGGCUCUUUGAUCUCUUCGUUUGCGAGUUUAAUUUAGUUUUUCAAUGCAAAAUGUUCGUGAUAUUGGGAACGAAACAACUGAAAACAAGAUAAAAGAUGGAGGAAGAGCCAAACUUUGAUUCAAAUCAGGUCAUCGUUUGACGAGCGUAACGAACUUUAAAGUGACCCGAAGACGCGAUUCAAGAGCCAUAAAAGCAUACAAUGAAAAGUUCGAACUAGUUCCGUUUAAGGCGGUAAAGAAUCAAAAAAAUAUGGGCCUACUGGACCAUCAGAUUUCGUUCGAAGCCUGUAAAACAAAAGGGAACAUCAGACUGAUCACUU